rnacentral:rRNA from 1 species
UACGGAGGGAGCUAGCGUUGUUCGGAAUUACUGGGCGUAAAGCGCGCGUAGGCGGCUUUGUAAGUUAGAGGUGAAAGCCCGGAGCUCAACUCCGGAACUGCCUUUAAAAACUGCAUCGCUUGAAUCCAGGAGAGGUGAGUGGAAUUCCGAGUGUAGAGGUGAAAUUCGUAGAUAUUCGCAAGAACACCAGUGGCGAAGGCGGCUCACUGGCCCGAUACUGACGCUGAGGCACGAAAGCGUGGGAGCAAACAGG